CACCUCUCAGGGUUGCACCUGGAGAGUUCCCAGUCCUCUACCAGUCUCUACUACGGGAGGGAGAGUCAAGCAGAGACCUGUCCAUUCCUUUCCUAGUUUGGGCAGUGGCUACGGAGGGGAAGGCAAUCUGCUACAAGU